UCGAUAACGUCAGGAACGAUAACUUGUGGCGUAACGUCAUUCGGUAUGUUACCUUAAAGGGGGUUACUGAGCAUGAAGGAUAAGACACAAGCUUAUCAAACUUUUGAAUGUCUACUCAAUAUGUAUAAUAUGAUAUAUAAAAACAGAUGAAUCAGGUAACUUUCAAUAAAGCCUAUGGCUCAUAUGGGAGUCCUUGAAUGAAGAUCGGACCGAUAUGAAAGAGGCAAAGUAUUAAUCUAAUUUUCAUUUACCUCCUAUUUAUGAACUCAAAUAGGUUGAUA
rnacentral:lncRNA from 1 species